ACGUAGACUCUGCCCUGUUGCUUAAGGCUCCAGGUCCUCAGAAGAGGGUCAGGAUCAUCUUUGCCGCUCAGUCAAGGUUACCAGGUAGUGGCCAGCAAAGAGAGAAAAGCAGCUCUCCUUUUCCAGAAAGACUUUAGUUACUGGUGGAAGCAAUACCUCCCCUGGGGAACAUAGGGUUACCAGGCUGUUCUGGAGCAAGUUGCCUGCCCUGUUCAUCAGUGCAGAAGGGUCUCAGUGAAGGUGGGUGCAUG
rnacentral:lncRNA from 1 species